CUGACUGGCUGGUUCUUCUGCCUGUAGAACUGACUGGCUGGUUCUUCUGCCUGUAGAACUAACUAACUGGCUGACUGUCUGGUUAGUCACUGACUGGCUGACUGGUUCUUCUGCCUGUAGAAGUCGCUGGUUGGCUGACUGGUUCUUCUGCCUGUAGAAGUCGCUGGUUGGCUGACUGGUUCUUCUGCCUGUAGAAGUCACUGGUUGGCUGACUGGUUCUUCUGCCUGACUGGUUCUUCUGCCUGUAGAACUAACUGGCUGCCUGACUGGUUCUUCUUCCAGGAGGUUUUAAAGCAUGGCUCUACGCUGACCUUUUUUUACUAGGAGCAUGUGUGCGCGCACCUGUUGAAAAAUGUUGGCGCACACAAAGUAAUUUAGGAGCACAAUGAAAAAUAUUUAAUAUGAGAUAUUAAAGCUAGAAUCACACAGCUAAAUAUUUAGACACAUAUAUACGAGUAGAAUGGUGGCACUGUUGAGCCCUUCAAAGAUGGUGGCUUUCAAACCAAUGUUCACAGGCUGGUGGAUGGACUACUUUACCAUAACCCACCUUCACAGGCUGACGGAUGGACUACGUUACUAUAAC
rnacentral:lncRNA from 13 species